UAGGGAAUCUUCCGCAAUGGGCGAAAGCCUGACGGAGCAACGCCGCGUGAGUGAAGAAGGAUUUCGGUUCGUAAAGCUCUGUUGUUAGGGAAGAAUGAUUAUGUAGUAACUAUACAUAGUAGAGACGGUACCUAACCAGAAAGCCACGGCUAACUACGUGCCAGCAGCCGCGGUAAUACGUAGGUGGCAAGCGUUGUCCGGAAUUAUUGGGCGUAAAGCGCGCGCAGGUGGUUUAAUAAGUCUGAUGUGAAAGCCCACGGCUCAACCGUGGAGGGUCAUUGGAAACUGUUAAACUUGAGUGCAGGAGAGAAAAGUGGAAUUCCUAGUGUAGCGGUGAAAUGCGUAGAGAUUAGGAGGAACACCAGUGGCGAAGGCGGCUUUUUGGCCUGUAACUGACACUGAGGCGCGAAAGCGUGGGGAGCAAACAGGAUUAGAUACCCUGGUAGUCCACGCCGUAAACGAUGAGUGCUAAGUGUUGGUCUCAUAAGAGAUCAGUGCUGCAGCUAACGCAUUGAGCACUCCGCCUGGGGAGUACGACCGCAAGGUUG
rnacentral:rRNA from 1 species